UGAAGCUGGAGCUUGCUCUGGUGGAUUAGUGGCGAACGGGUGAGUAACACGUGAGUAACCUGCCCCAGACUCUGGGAUAAGCACUGGAAACGGUGUCUAAUACCGGAUACGAACUUCCGCCGCAUGGUGAGGAGUUGGAAAGAAUUUUGGUCUGGGAUGGACUCGCGGCCUAUCAGCUAGUUGGUGAGGUAAUGGCUCACCAAGGCGACGACGGGUAGCCGGCCUGAGAGGGUGACCGGCCACACUGGGACUGAGACACGGCCCAGACUCC
rnacentral:rRNA from 1 species